rnacentral:rRNA from 1 species
AAUCAACGCUGGCGGCGUGCCUAACACAUGCAAGUCGAACGCGAAAGCCCCGCAAGGGGUUAGUAGAGUGGCAAACGGGUGAGUAACACGUGGGUGACCUGCCUUAGAGUGGGGGAUAACGUCCCGAAAGGGACGCUAAUACCGCAUAACAUCCUGCCUUUGAAGAGGUGGAGAUCAAAGCCGGGGACCGCAAGGCCUGGCGCUCAAAGAGGGGCCCGCGCCUGAUUAGCUAGUUGGUGAGGAAUGGCUCACCAAGGCAACGAUCAGUAUCCGGCCUGAGAGGGCGGACGGACACACUGGGACUGAGACACGGCCCAGACUCCUACGGGAGGCAGCAGGUGGGGAAUUGUUCGCAAGUGGGCGCAAGCCUGACGACGCAACGCCGCGUGGAGGAUGAA